rnacentral:rRNA from 1 species
UACGGAAGAUCCGAGCGUUAUCCGGAAUUACUGGGCGUAAAGAGUUGCGUAGGUGGCAUGUAAAGCGAACAGUGAAAGACUAUGGCUCAACCAUAGGUACAUUGUUCGAACUCACAAGCUAGAGCACAGCAGAGGUACCUGGAAUUCCCAGUGUAGGAGUGAAAUCCGUAGAUAUUGGGAGGAACACCGAUGGCGUAGGCAGGGUACUGGGCUGUUGCUGACACUAAGGCACGAAAGCGUGGGGAGCGAACGGG